UCAUUCGGCCGUUGAUCUAAUACCACAAACCAAUGAGCCAUGCUCCCUGUUUAUAACACAAAAAACACUAGCGCAUAAUCAAUUUAAAUUUGAAAAUAAAAAAUAUGUUCCUCGACUCCCCUUCCCGGUUCUCUCGACAACCCUAAUCACCGCCUCCAUUGUUUACCUCUGCCACCGCCGCUACAAUCGAGCUUCCAUCUCUUCACCAGCACAGCCUAGCACCGGCCUCCACCUCUAGAAACUAGUAGUCACCAUAAACCCUAGAUACCAUGUAUUCAGGAUCCCACCACCGAGAUUAAACGAUUGUUGAUUUUUUUCCUUAUCGACGACCAUGACAUCACGACUGCUUUUCCUUAACGACGAUCUUCACCAUUCGGGUUUUAUUUGCUUUCCAUUUUGGUAUUAGAUUUCUUAUUUGAUUUGUAUCUGCUUUCAUUUUGUUUUUUGGUGUUUUGGUUUCGUAUUUCAUUUAUUCCAGACGAAUCCACCAAACCGAUGAUGGCCAUGACCGAAAAACUGCAGGUAAGUUGAGGUGGCAUUCAAUUAUCAAGAAACCAAUGGAAAGUUACCAAACUGCCCCUCUUGAUUUAAGUGUGUUGUUGCUAUAUGUAUGUGGAUGUACAUGGUUGGGUAUUUGAGGUCUUAUGUGUCUGAGUGGUUGUAUGUAAAGGUGAUUUUUGUUGUGUUAAUUAAGGAAUAUUUGUUCAUUUGGUGACAAGCAUCACUGCCCUUAUUCUGAUGCAUAAUAUGUAAAAAAGUUAGUCUUUCUUCCUUUGUUAAUCUGUUAGUAGGUUAUAGUUUCAAUUUUC